AACAGGAUUAGAUACCCUGGUAGUCCACGCCGUAAACGGUGGGCGCUAGGUGUGGGUUUCCUUCCACGGGAUCCGUGCCGUAGCUAACGCAUUAAGCGCCCCGCCUGGGGAGUACGGCCGCAAGGCUAAAACUCAAAGAAAUUGACGGGGGCCCGCACAAGCGGCGGAGCAUGUGGAUUAAUUCGAUGCAACGCGAAGAACCUUACCUGGGUUUGACAUACACCGGAAACCUGCAGAGAUGUAGGCCCCCUUGUGGUCGGUGUACAGGUGGUGCAUGGCUGUCGUCAGCUCGUGUCGUGAGAUGUUGGGUUAAGUCCCGCAACGAGCGCAACCCUUGUCCUGUGUUGCCAGCGCGUUAUGGCGGGGACUCGCAGGAGACUGCCGGGGUCAACUCGGAGGAAGGUGGGGACGACGUCAAGUCAUCAUGCCCCUUAUGUCCAGGGCUUCACACAUGCUACAAUGGCCGGUACAGAGGGCUGCGAUACCGUGAGGUGGAGCGAAUCCCUUAAAGCCGGUCUCAGUUCGGAUCGGGGUCUGCAGCUCGACCCCGUGAAGUUGGAGUCGCUAGUAAUCGCAGAUCAGCAACGCUGCGGUGAAUACGUUCCCGGGCCUUGUACACACCGCCCGUCACGUCAUGAAAGUCGGUAACACCCGAAGCCGGUGGCCUAACCCCUUGUGGGAGGGAGCCGUCGAAGGUGGGAUCGGCGAUUGGGACGAAGUCGUAACAAGGUAACC
rnacentral:rRNA from 1 species